CCCGCACAAGCGGUGAGCAUGUGGUUAAUUCGAAGCAACGCAAGAACCUUACCAGGUCUUGACAUCCCGAUGCUAUUCUAGGGAUAGAAAGUUACUUCGGUACAUCGGUGACAGGUGGUGCAUGGUUGUCGUCAGCUCGUGUCGUGAGAUGUUGGGUUAAGUCCCGCAACGAGCGCAACCCCUAUUGUUAGUUGCCAUCAUUCAGUUGGGCACUCUAGCGAGACUGCCGGUAAUAAACCGGAGGAAGGUGGGGAUGACGUCAAAUCAUCAUGCCCCUUAUGACCUGGGCUACACACGUGCUACAAUGGUUGGUACAACGAGUUGCGAGUCGGUGACGGCGAGCUAAUCUCUUAAAGCCAAUCUCAGUUCGGAUUGUAGGCUGCAACUCGCCUACAUGAAGUCGGAAUCGCUAGUAAUCGCGGAUCAGCACGCCGCGGUGAAUACGUUCCCGGGCCCU
rnacentral:rRNA from 1 species